rnacentral:rRNA from 1 species
UACGGGGGGGGUAAGCGUUGUUCGGAAUUACUGGGCGUAAAGGGCUCGUAGGCGGCCAACUAGGUCAUACGUGAAAUCCCUCAGCUUAACUGGGGAACUGCGUGUGAUACUGGAUGGCUUGGAUGUGGGAGAGGGAUGCGGAAUUCCAGGUGUAGCGGUGAAAUGCGUAGAUAUCUGGAGGAACACCGGUGGCGAAGGCGGCAUCCUGGACCAUUAUUGACGCUGAGGAGCGAAAGCCAGGGGAGCAAACGGG